UCUUCCCAAGCCUUUUUGGAGGUACCCCAUGUACUACAUUGCAUUCCACAAGUAUGCAAAUCAAGGAUUCUACAAGAAUGAGUUUGAAGGAUUGACGUUUCCUAAUAAUCAAGCUGGAGGGUCGCCUACCAUUACUGGCGAAGAAAUCUUGCGAAACAUUUGGCAAGUGGAGAUGGGCUACUCGAAAUGGGUUGAUAUUGGUAUCUUGUUUGGGAUGGUGGUUGUUUAUCGGCUUAUGUUCUUGGGAAUCAUAAAAAUUGUUGAAAAAGUUAAGCCAAUCAUCAAAGCUGUUAUGUCUGUUCCUCCAGCACAAGUCAGCUCAGAUACUUGAGAAUUGAGAAUCCCUCUCCAUCACUUGAAGUUACGAAGAAUAUUUGAAAAUAACUCCAGAGAUCUAUAGGGUUGGUAAUUUAGGUUAGAGAAAUUCCCCAAGGUUGAUAAUUUUAUAAGGUUAAUUUUAUGUAUCGAUGUUGAAAUUAGCAGAUACUGAUAGCUAAUUGCCACAUCAAAUUUCAUAUGAUAGAGUAAAAACAUGAAAAAUUGUAGAGAUUCUAUGAUUUCAUGGAAUUAUGUUACUUUAAAUUGUAAACAUCCGAUGAUAAUUAAAUUAAUAUAUACUUAUGAAUAUAAUUAUUAAAAAAGAUUGCUUGAUAUAUAUUUAUAUUUUUUGAAAUGAUAAUUAAAGAUCCGAAAUAUAGAACCUGAAAACUUUUUAGAUUUAUUCAAAUACACUUACCACCAUAUUAAGUUUCUGAAUAAUUGAUAUUUAUAAUUGCUUGAUAUUUAUGAUAGCUUUUUUUUUAAAUUGACUUUUAAUUUGUAUGGUAUGCUUUUAUAUAAAAUUAUUUAUACGAAAUCAUAAUGUAAACUUUAUCGAUUACGGAUUGAUUUAUUUUUUAUUUUUUUAUAUUAUUUAAUAUUUAAAAUUUAUGAAUUUAAUUAAAAAUAAAAAAUAUUAAAAUAUUUUACAUUAAAAAAUAGACUAGAAAUCUCUUAUUAAAAAAAUAUGGACUUAUAUCAAUCUCUUGGUUGUCUCUUAUGAAUAAUGUGAAAUUUUGAGAAAUUUUAAGAAAUUUUUAGCUUUUAUGGUAAAAUUAAAUGAUAAAAUGAUCGAGUAAAAAAAAUUAGAAGGGUAAUAAUAUUAAUUACAAAAAUAUAGACUCAAUUAGUAAAUAUGGUAAAAAAUUAGGGAUCUUAUUGUAAUUCGCCAUUUAUUUUAAAAGCAGCAUCCCACACUCCUUUCUUCUUCUAGAAACAACAAACGGGAACCAGUUACCAGAGAUAUGGAGGAAGAAGAGCAUGAGGUGUACGGAGGAGAGAUUCCGGACAUGGAAGGUGAUAUGGACCCUCACAACGCCGACGUCGACAUGUCUGCCGCCGAUGAAGACGCCGUCAAGGUCCUAAUUUUUUCUGUUUUGGUUUCAAUUGUUUAUAGAGAGAAUAAAACCCUAGUGAUUUAUCGAUCUUCGAGGUUUCUACACGAAGAGCUAUUUACUUAGCUUUCUUGCAUAAUAUUACAAUUAAUACCAUUUGUUUACGGGGGCAAUGGUGCAGGAGCUGGAUGAGAUGAAGAAGAGGUUGAAGGAGAUGGAAGAGGAAGCGGCGGCUCUCCGUGAGAUGCAAGCUAAGGUUGAGAAAGAGAUGGGCGCUGUUCAAGGUUUUGACUCUUUUUCUUAUAUCUUCUACUAGGAGUUUUGUCUUUCCGGAGGAAUUUGAUCUAUGUUACAUAUCUUUUCUUUGUUUGUUUUCCGAGAAAUUUUGAUGGUCAAAAGGAGUCUUAUGGGUUGGCUAUUUUUAUUUGCUUCUGCUACUUGUGGUGGUUUAGAAAUCGACACAUCUGGAUUAUUAAUCUUGUUUCCCUGUAAUUUACUUAGAAAACGAUGUUUAGCCCUACGGUCAAGAAUGAUAUGCAUUUAUCUUGGUGCUUAAGAAAGUGAUGAAUAGCAUCAAGAAGAGACACUACACAAAUGCUAUAAGAGGGAUUGCAUUAGAAGUUUCAUUAUCUGGUCUUCCCCCCCGCCCCCUUCUUAAACAAGCUUGGUAGUUUUUGGUGAUAAUACACUUCCUUCAUAUUCUGAAAAUGAGUGUUUUGAGAAUUUCAGCAAACAUCACUUUGGAGCUCUCAGAAAGUCAGACUACUUGUUAAAAAUGUUUUCUUCUAAAUGUUCCAAAAAAUGUACUUCUAAACGUGCUUUUGGUAUAGAGAGAAUAUUUCCUUUGUUCUUGGUAAGAAAAUAUUUCCUUUUAAAUGUGCUUUUGGCAUGCAUUUCCUUAUUAACCAUAGGUGUCUCAGAAAAAUACCUACCUCUUUUUAUGGUAUACUGUGUGAUUUUUCACUGUUUUGAGGAAUUUAACCAGAUCGGUUUUUUAUGUCUUGCUUAUUUCAGUGAAUGACAAUUUUUUGAAGCAACUUUUUACUUAAUUUUCUUUCAUGCCUUGGUCUUCACAUUUAUGAUUUAGACAAGCUGUUAUGGUGGAUUAUCAUUUGAUUUGUGCUUGUAACCUUGUACUGUAUCUUUCUUCUUACUUAGAAUAAGAUGCUUGAAUUUUUGUUACAAUCAAACGUCUUAUUCUUAUUUGACUUCUCUUCUAGUUUUAUAUUCAAGUCACACUCAUAAUUUAACCUUUUUCCCUGUUCGGAAGUUUAAAUUCACAUUACUGUUGUAAUUUGCACGCUGUCAUUUCAUUCACAGAUCCAGCUAGUGCAGCUGCUAACCAAGCAAAUAGGGAGGAAGUGGAUUCUCGUUCUGUAUUUGUGGGCAAUGUGAGAAAAUGGAAAACCUCUUCUCCUUUUUUCUGCCACCUGUUAACUACCUACUGUGUCUAUAAAUGCUAGUUUCCUGUAAGCUUGUUUUUAUUCCUAGCUGUGCUCUUAGAGUUGCAUAAUAUUGUGUAUUAACCAAAAUUUCUUUUCUACAUAUCUGAGACUGAGUUCUUGUUUUAACCUGGUCAGUUAAGGAAAGUAGUAGGCCUGUUUUUCCAUUGGUCUUGCUAAAUUUCUUUUGAAGUACCAUGCAUGCCAUUCACUAUUUUGCAUUUCUUUAUGUAGCUACUUCAUAAAUUUAUGUAUUUCAAAUUUGCUUCCUAUUUCCCACCCUUUUCUUUACAUAACCUUAGAAGUUAAUACAUUGUGCAUGAUUUCAUAUUUAAUAUCCUUCUUUCAUUCUGUAAAUUAAGCUUCAUUAUUCGAAUGUGCAUUGUAUAUUGGAUAUGCAUGCUUAUGGAACUACAGGUUUCUGGUUGUAAAAUACAGUUUUCGUCCUGGCUAGAAAAUAGUGAUCACCUUUGGGAAUAUUUCUUCAUCUGGGUUAUUGUAAUAGACUUGUUGACUAACCCCCAUGCUGAAAAUCAUUUUACAUAAUCUUAAUUGAUAUUCUGUUACCUUUCUCUUGUCCAUUGAGGUAUUUUUAUUAUAUAAAACAUCUCCAGAAAAUGCCCUUUCGUUAAACUAAUCUAUUUGGGAAAGAGUAGACAACUUGUAUAAUUCUUUUAUAGGAAGUGUUCAAACGCCUUAUUUGUUGAAGAACAGGCAUACCUCCUUUCUAUAUUUAUAUUAAUCAGCAGUGGUGGGCAAUCUCAUGGAAACCAGAGAUUGCCAUGGCUCCACUAUGUUUUCAUUGAUUGUUUUAGUGUCUAGUUAUUAAUAAAAUUUUAACAUUUUGUAGUUGACAUUUAAGAUAAUGUUGUCUGGUAAGUUCUUUCUGCCUCUUUUAUGACCACCACACUAAUAUUAUAAAAAAAUUGGCUGGUCUAUCCCUUUCAAGUGUGAAAUUUCUGGACUAUAGAAAUUUUUAUUAUGCUUUGCAUUUCAAAAACCUUGUGAAUGAUAGAAAUGUAAACCAUGAAAGUCAUAAAAAUGUGAAAAACCUAAUUCGAUUUUACUUUGAGGGUCUGAAAUUUAUCUGUUAUAGCAGGUUUUGUUAAUGUUUUCUUUCGUUUCACACGUUUAUCUUUAACUGUUUUAUCUUGUUAUGCAUUGAAAGACAAAGUACAUGCACAUCAAAUGCAGUCUGUAAUUUAGUAGUACAUAAGUAUUCCAAAUCUCAACAGCCCUUUCUAUCCACCCAAAACCUCAGAGAGAAAAAGAAAUAAUAAAAAGAAAGAAAGAAAGAAACUUUCCUCCUGGCAGUGGAUUUGUUUUACUGUUUUGAAUUAUUAUUUACUUUAAUUUGCUUGCUUUUUCUGUUGAUGUGCCUUCUUACCAUUCGAAAUCAUGGUUUGACUUUACGUCUCACUAUGAUCGCAGGAUUCUCCUUAUUCUUCAAGUUCUCUGUUUGUUAGCGCUGGAAUAGUUGUACUGUCUUUUGGGGAUGGGCCAGUGUCAAUUUUGUGUUAAAUAAGCUUGUAUUAUGAGAGAUUAAAAAGUCCUGCAUGUUAAUAGACAAAAGAAAUGAAAACAAAGUUGUUGAAGAAAAUGAGUAGAAGAUAUGAUAAAUGUUGCUUGAAAAAAAAAAAGAGCGGAAAAAGAAAAAGGAAUGCAGAACAUUUGAAAGGGCCAAAAAAAAAAAAAGAAGAAAAGAAAUUCAGAAAAAAUAAUACAAAAGGAAGAUUUUGGAACAGAAAAAAAAGGAAAAAAAAAGAGAUGGAAAGAUGAGAGAGAGAGGAGUCCAACUUGAAGAAUAAUGCAAAUCUAUUCCAAGGGAAAUUGUUUGAAAAAAGCAAGCUAAAUGCCUAUUGGAGUUGCUGAAUUGAUGUAGUUUGUAAUUGAGAUGCUUCAACCAUUAUGUUAUGUGAGAAUGGAAGUCAAUCCGUUUGAAGAGCAGAGGCAAGUCAGAAUAUGCAAUCUAAGUUGCAGACUGCAGAGCCUCGUCACUGCUGUUGGUAGUUGGUGCUUCCGAAAUAUGUGGUCAUUAAGCAGAAGUGGUGAAGGGUGUAAGAUUGUUGCUUCUUUCAGUGUCUUAAUCUCUUGACUUCUAGUUACUUUUAUCCAAAGUGUUGGAACUUGGAAAUGUUUGACAAAUGUGUGUUAUAAUAUUUCUAGUGAACUUACAAGAGUUAUUAAGAUUCUAAAUAGCAUAUUUUGUCUUGGUCAUUUUAUUAUCUACUUUAAACACUUCUUGGACUUGUUAUUUCUCAUCAGUUGUUCCUAAAAGGCUGCUCAAAUCCUUGGGAGUUUGCUAUAUGAAUUAUCGUUUUACUUAAUCUCAAGAAGAAAGCAUUUUAAAGCUUGUAAAUGAUCCAAGCUAGACAAAUUUAGACAUGUGACAUGGCAAUAUAUUAUCUACUUUUCCUUCUUACAUUAACUUUGAGAACCUGCAUUUUUGAAUGGGAUAAUAUGUCUUCCCCCCGCCCCUUUUUAUAGAAAAAGCAUUUUCACUGUAUAAUUUAAUUAGCUUAUUGCUGAAAACACUAUAUGUCCUCUCAUCUUAAUUUUCUGGAAAUGUUUUCCAUGAUAAAAUCCACUUAAAUUGCUGCGGUAUUCAUUUGUCAAAGUACCUUUAGAUGUCUUAGCUUUUCCUCUUUUGAUUUAUAGACGAAAUAUUCUAUACAUAAAAACCUUUAUUACUUCCAUUUAAUUUAGAAUUUCUAAACUUCAUCUGUUGUAGUUUUUCUUAUAUGUGUGUGUGUGUGUGUUUGUGUGUGUGUGUACACACACACACUUCUGUGUUUGCUUCUAUUUGAAUGAUUUAUAUGUAUUUUCAUGAACUAGUGUUCUCAAGUCCUGUGUUGAUGAUCAUUUGAGCGGUGUAGGCUGUAAGCAUUUGGGAACUUUGUUUUACUAGACGAGAGAAUAAUGGGUUCAUGUGAGCCAGUUUUCAGUGCUUGAAGUUGGAGCGGAAAUGGAGGUGAAAAAAGCUACUUGAAAGAAAGGACAUAUCACAUAAGACAAGGCUAAGACAUAUGGACUGUGGCUUACACUGAAUUGUUGAGUAUUAAGGUUUUGUUUGAGUUGAGGAUGUAGUCUUCGCCAUAAACUGCAGAAUGCUCAGUUGCCAGUUCUUUUCCCAUUAUGCAGAUGGAGAUGCACAUCAACCGCCACUUAAAGUGUCUAGUCAGAUGGGAGAAAUGAAAUACUGCAGUGCCUUUUUUUCUUAGAAAGGGUGAAAGAAAAGAGGAGGUAGAGAAGGGUGAACUUUGUUACUGUGGAGAGGAAAAAGCUAAAUUUGAGAUGACCUUGUGGCAAAAUUCUAUUCUAGGUCUAUAUUUGAAAAAGGACUGGCAGUGGGAUAAUUUGGUGGUACACAAGAAUGGUUUUGUGUCUGCUAUUUAGAAAAUGAUAGAUAUGGUUGAAUAAUGAAAGUAUGCCUGUUUUGAUAGAAAAUUUUGGCAGAUUCAUGUCGCUUUUAUGCACCAUUGCUUUUGGUGAUUUGAAAUUGAAUCAGGCCAGCGUGCGUUUCGAAAUUUGAAUUGUGAACUCAAAAACAUCUUGCACAUGAAAAUAAGUGGUGCAAAAAAGAUUAAACAAGCUGGAUUAGAGACUAUACAAUAUCCACAAUUUUUUAGGAGCAGUUGGUGGAAAGAGGAAAAUGUAGAACAUUAUUGCUUGUGUCAAAACUGAACAAUAAAACUAGGAUUUUUUUUUCCCAAUCCAAUGCAGCCAUUUGAUUUCAGCUAAAACAUUAUUCUUUCUUUGAAUAAUGUUUUCCUUUUUGGGUAUAUGAUGUAUUAUGCAUGUGGAUAAGAAACCUUGUCCGAAAAAUUAUAGCAGAAAGAAUCUUGGUAAAACAUAUUUCAAUGAGCUGUUUGCUACCAUAAAUCUGUUUAUCUGAUCUAGAUCUUAUAAAUUUAUCUUUGAUGCCUUGCUGAUUGAAAUUUGGCAUGCAAACAUUAUGAUGAAUUUAUCAUGCAGGUUGAUUAUGCAUGCACACCAGAAGAAGUUCAACAACACUUUCAGUCUUGUGGAACAGUUAACAGGGUUACUAUUUUGACAGACAAGUAUGGCCAGCCAAAGGGUUUUGCUUAUGUGGAAUUCCUUGAAGUAGAAGCUGUACAAGAGGCUUUGGUUCUGAAUGAAUCUGAAUUACAUGGGCGUCAAUUGAAGGCAAGUCUUUCUUUUAUCAGAGAAAAAUUAGCAAGUUUAUGGAUUAUUGUUAUUAGGAAAUUACCACGAGAUCCAUUUUUGCUUUUUGAUUUCAUACGGUGUAUGCCUUUCAGGUUUUGCCCAAAAGGACCAAUGUUCCUGGAAUGAAGCAAUAUCGACCGAGGCGAUUCAAUCCUUACAUGGGUCACCGGUUUAGGAGGCCAUAUGUCCCUCCCUAUUUCUAUUCUCCAUAUGGAUAUGGGUAUGUAUUUUUGCUCUUAUCCUACGUUUAGUCUUUUUUUUUUAAAUAUUCAUACCAUCACCUUUUCUUAUCUGUGUUUUUUGCCACCCCUAUCUGCAGGAAGGUUCCUAGAUUCAGAAGGCCAAUGCGAUAUAUGCCUUAUUACUAGAUAACUGUUAAGGGGCAGUGAAGUUCACCAGGUGGAUGCGUCUGUUCUGAACACUUGAGUUUCUAUUUAUGAUCUUUGAGAAGAAAACAGAGAUUUUAUUGGGAUAAUGACGAUUGCUGCUAAUAUUCAUAAUUAACGAUGUUAUAAGACGAACGAUGUUUAAUUGAUAGGUUGUUGCUGCUGGCAAACUUUUCUUAAUCGAGUUUAUUAGCCUUUGAAAUAAUAAGAUAAAGUUGGAUGGAGAUCUCUUCAAUGAAGGGUGCAUUCUGCUUUUAGAUGUUUCCAUUGGCCCUUGGACGAUUGCGGUGAGUUUCUUUCCUUUUUUGAAAAAAAUAAAUUUAGAAUGAAAUAGUUCAUUAACUUAAAUAGGAAGUGUAUACGCCAGCAACUCUUGGAUGAUUUACCAUCCAGCUAGUAAUAGAGUUGAGGGAUUAAACACUUGAAUGGUGCAACCAUGGAGUAUGAAACGUGAGGUUUGAUGAUCAGAUAAUAACGUGCCUUGUCACAGGUCUUUUGGGCUUGUUAAAUAUGCCAUAUAAUUAAAAAUUGGAAAUUUCUUUAUUAUAAAAAAAUGGAAAAUUUAGGUGUACGACUUGGUUCACUAUAGAUUAUUGAAGUGUUUUUUUAUGGAAGUAUUUAUUUGUUUGUACUUGGAGGUGCCACGAAUAUUUUUUAAAAAGAUUAUACUUAGAAUGCCACAAAUAACUAGAAUGCCUUAAAUCGUUGAGGUAACCUGCCACCGGUCACCGACAAGGGCUGGGCUGGGACGCUGAUUCACGAUGAGAAAGCUAAUAAUUUAUCAUAUUUUUUAUGUAUAUGUAUAUUUCAUUUCAAUAAAUUUGUCCAUGUAGAGGAAAAGUUAAUUUUCAUCAUAGGAUGCCGCUGUAAAUAUGGUGGCAUACCAAGUGUUAUCUAUCUUGGUCUGUGUCUAAGAAAGAAAUUUCCAUUCUCCAAAAAUAACUGAGAGGAAGCCUAUACACAUCUGGUCAUCCUUUAUUAAUAUUGUUAUUAUUUUUGAGCUAACAAAAUCAUUGGUAAAAGCUGACUUUCACCAGAAUCUAGCAAAGCUGCAACUGGAAAGGGAUCAGAAACCACCCUAUACAUUCAUUGCACUUAUUUACUAACCCUAUUAGUGGGGCCUAUAGAAAAAGAAUAACAAGUUGCAAGAAGACUCUUUAUAUCAAACUCUAGGAUUUCAAAUCUUCAAUCUCCCGGGGAGUCUCCUCUGGGAAAAUUUUGACAGCAUGCAAGGCUUAGUUUUAUUUCUUGCCUAGAAAAAUCCCAACAGCAAUGCCUCCAUAAAUACAUAAACUGCGAUCCAAAUUAACAGAAUAAGGUUCUGUAUAUAAAGCUAAUCUCCAGCACAUUGCUUUUGCAGCUUCCACUUGAGGAUACUGCAUCAGCAAUAUUUCAAGAAAAAUCCCUUCACAACGAUUCAACGAAAUCAUACAUGAAAUGCUUUACAUAAGCAGGUUGUGUGUCCAAGCGAUUUCCACAGCUGAUUUCUAUUUUUGGAAGGAACUAAAGUAGGGUUAGCAGUAUCUAGUUGAUAUUGAAAUAAAUUGAAUAAAUCAAAUCAAUUCAAAAUUUUGAGAUAUUAUAUUUUUUUUAUGUGGUUUGAUUUUAAUUUGUAAAAAAUUUGGUUACUUUGAUUCGUUUGGUUAGAAAAAUUUAAUAAAAUCAAAUUGAAUAAAUUAGCUACAAAUGUUAUUUUGAUAAUAUAAGGAGAUUAGAUUCUAAAUAAAGUUAUUUCAAUUGAAUUCUAGUGUAUAUAAAGAUAUUAAAAAGGUCAAUCGACUAAAUCGAAUUGAAUCGAAUCAUAUCACAUCAAUUCAAAUUAUUUCUCUCUUUUAUAUUUUAAUUUUCAAUAAUCACCCGUAAACUAAAGUGAAGUGUGAAGGUGGAUCCACAUAGAUAUUGAAUCUGGUGCUUAUUCCCUACAGGCUCAAGGAAAGCAAGCGUUGGUUCUCAUCCAGGGAUUGAGAAGCAUUGAGCCUGGGGUCACAAUGUGUGUAAUAGCGUGAGCCAAAGUCAUCAAAAGUUACAGUCCUAGACCCACCAAUGCAUUCUGUCACAUUUUGGCCACUCAUCUACAGGUGAAUUCCGCCAGGGUGGCUCCCUUCUUGCUCAUGGACAUCAAAAAAUGUUCCAAUCUCAGCCUGCAAACAUGUACAAUAUCAUGACUAUGAGUUGAAAGAGGAUGAGCUACAGUAAACAAAGAAAUUGGUUCUUUAAAAUUAUUGAUAUGACAAAUAAAUCCUACCAAAAUUGCAUCAAAUCGGCGUGUUUUUAGUCCACAUGGUGCCUUAAUGGUGUUCCCAUGCAUGGGAUCACAGACCCAUGUCACAAUUUGUCCGGCCCUGCGUACUGUUCUGACCAAGUGAGGAAGCGUGACUCUCAGGUUUUCAGCACCCAUUCUGGCUGAUGAUUGUUAUCCUUCCAGGCUUGUUCUUAGAAUUCAGAAUUUCAAUGAGUUUAACCAGUUCAUUUGGGUCCAUUUUGUUGCUCAUCUGCAUCACAAGUUGCAGUUUCAGGAAGAGGACCAGAAAAAUAAUAGUGAAAUCAAUUAUUCUAAUAACGCUUGCAUUGAAGUACCUUGAUACCAAGAGGGUUAGAAAUUCCUCUGAGGAACUCUACAUGGGCACCAUCCAAUUGACGGGUACGUUCUCCACACCAGAGCAUGUGAGCAUAGCAAUCAUAGUACAGGCCAGAAGUUGAAUCCAGCCUUGUCAGAGAUUGCUUGUAAGGCAAAUGCAAGCAUUCAUGGGAUGUCCAGAAUUCAGUUGUCAUUGUGGCAGGAUGUUCCACUGUGAGUCCUGCAGCAGCCACGAAGCCUAAGGCCUCAUCAACCCGAUGGGCUAGUUCUUGGUACCUAUCAAAAAAUUGAAACCAGAACUCCAAAAGCAUUUCACUUUUUCUGAAAGUUGAUCCAGGGAGCUGCAAAUACAACAGAUGACAUGAGAAAAGUUUAGUUUGCAAACCUGUCUCCUUGCUCACUGUGCUCUGCGAAGUCGAGAUUCCAUUGUGUAACUCUCUGCAUUGCAGCAUAGCCUCCAGUGGCAAAGGCCCUAAGAAGGUUUAUAGUUGCUGCAGAUUGAGAGUACGCACUUAACAGCCUCUGCGGGUCUGGAAUUGACUUCUCGUUAAAAGCAUCUCCAUUAAUGUUGUCCCCUUUAUAACUUGGCAACUUCACUCCAUUCCUCAGCGAGCCUCUCUUCUAAACUCCUGGCUUCCCCAGCGAAAACAAUUGGUGGAAAUGCCUCAAUAGUCUUCAACACAGACUCCGGCGAAUUCGCAUCUGGGUAUUCAGGAAGCUGCGAAGCUUUCUUCUUUUUCCAGCUGUCCAAAGUCCAUUUCCCAGUGCUGGGUGGACCGGGGGCAACAAGCGCCUUUGACUCCUCUACAGAUAGAGAAUUCUUAGCGGACCUGGCCGCAUGGAUAGCGGUGAUUGAAAGGAGGGAUAUGGACUUGUUGCUAGGAAGAAGAGAGAGAGUUGGUGGUGAAAGCGAGAGAGAGUGUGGGUGUUGCUGUAUGGAGACUUGGAAGAAAGAGUUGAGAGAGCUAUUUCUGUUUGUGGCUUUUAUCAGCAAUUCCCUCUACUUUUAUAGUGUUUUUAUUUGGGUUGGUUUUAUAUUUUAUCUGCAUAUUCAUCAUUAAGUAUCUUAAAUUUAUUCUAUUGAGAAUCCAUCUACCAAAAAUUACAUGGAAGAAUUGAAAAUUUAGGUUACUGAGAGAAGUAAUCCCAUAAAUCCCUUUAAUUAACAGAAAAUAUAAUAUUAUUUACGAAUAAUAAAAAAAUUUUAAUUAGAUUUAAAAAUUAAAGGACUACCUAAUCAAUUUCUUAAAAAUUCAGGAUUUAAUAGUAAUUCUUUUACAUAGGUAUAUAUAUAUAUACUCCGGCCACUAACUUCUGGCUGCUAGUUGCGUACUUUAGCCUGUCAUAAAUUUCUAAAACUAAAUUGCGCAGAUAGCCCUAAGCGCGCCAACCAUCGUAACCAUCGCCAUAGCUGAACUCUCCCAGAAACCCUGAUAAUGUCUUCUCUUUAUCCAAAACCCUAACGAAAUCCAAACUCAAAUUGACACAAAACGAAAUCAAAACGACAAUGUUACUCACCUCGCAACGCCUCUUCGCAAAUUCACCUUCUCGACCUUUCUACUUCAUCACCCCCAUUAAGCCCUCUCUUAAAAACCCUAAUUUUCCCCCCCCAAUCCUCCCCCUCCACUUCACCAAUUCCUUACUUUUACAAAAUUUCCCCUACAAACCCCAGUACCUUCUCAGCUUCGGUUCAAAAUCCUAUAGUUUUCCUAUCAGAGCCUAUCAAUCCGAUGACGCAAUAAGCCCACGGGAAGGUUCUGAUGCUUUCAAUCUCGAUGCUUUUCUCUCAAUUGCUGAAUUAUUGUGUAUUAUCUCGUCGGCGAUUAUUACAAUAAGUUAUGCAGUGAAUUCUACGGUUUUAAGCUCUAGAAGGACGGUGUUGGGGGUGAUAGGGAGUAACGGGGCGUUUGCUUGGGGAUUGGUGGUGAUGGUGAGUGGCAUGGUGAUUGGUGCAUGGAUUAGGAGGCGUCAGUGGCUUCGGUUCUGUAAAGUAACAGUUAGGGAGGGUAGAGAGAGUGUGAAUUUGGUAGAUAGGAUUGAGAAACUGGAGGAGGAUUUGAGGAGUUCUGCCACGAUUAUUCGAGUCUUAUCUAGGCAGCUUGAGAAGCUGGGGAUUCGGUUUCGGGUAACAAGGAAAGCUUUGAAAGAGCCCAUUGCUGAGGUAUACACAACUUUUGAUACAAAUAACUUUUGUUGGUUCUUGAUUAUUAUUAUUUUUUAACUGUUACUGGUUUGGGUUAUUGCAUUCUGUUGAAGAAGAAGAUCCAGGGAGUGAAGAUGAGUUAAUUUAGUUUCAGAAAGCCCAAUCCCAAAAUGCUAUUACAUUCCUGAGGAUUUUCCUCCAAUACAAGUAGAAGUUCACUGAGAGAAAUUUAAGGUUUAUUAUUUUUAGAGUCCCAAGUGUGAAAUGCUGAAGGUUUGAAAAACUGAAGCGUCCAAGGAAAAUGCUUAGGAUUGCAAGUUUUCGACACUCAUUAUGUCUUUGUUUUAAGAUUGUAGUUGUAUUGUAGUUAUGUUGUAAAGUAUGAUCUGAUGCUCAAUGCCUUAUUGCUUGAGGAUUGUUUUUCUUAUUCCUCUAUUGUUAAUAAUUGCUGUUUCACCACCCACCUUCUGUGAUCCAUUUUAUUCACUGCAAAGAAGUACUAUCAUCUCUAAGAGAAAGCUUUGUUUCGUUAGAAGUUAUAAAACAGCAGGUCGGUUUCCAAUUGGCUGUCUCUUGUUAAGGCCUUCAUAUUCUUAUACUUUCCUGCCCAAAAUGUUUUUUUGUGCCAGUGAUUCAUAGCAUCUUGGCUGUUUUCUUUGUAUGAAAAUAAAAAAAUCACAAACAACUAAAACUAUUAAUUGCGUAUGCCAUAUUCUGCCAAUGUUAGGAAACCUUCUUAAUGCAAGAUACUAGCUUUUCCUCUAGUGUUCCCAUUUAUUCUUUCUGUUUAGUAAGCCUAAUAAUGGCCUAGUUUAUGGUUAAGGCAAUACGAGUUGAGCUAGCAACAUAAAUUCAUUUGUCGCCCAAAUUAGUUUUUGAAUGGUUGUGCAACUUUGAUUAUGCUCAUGCUUUAUCUCUUAGAUUGGUAUCAUUAUAAGAUCUUGCUGAAAUGUGUAUGAAUCCUAGUUUCAAGGUUCUUAUAAUGUUUGGACAUUAGAGGUUAAGCUGAUAACCUAGGGACGUAAGUCGGAGAGCAAUAACUGGAGCGUGAAUAGGUUAUAAUGAGAACGAAAGAAAUUGUUAUGUUAGUAGCUAUACUGAUUGGUGAAUUUUGCUGCAGCUUCAUAAGUUAUCUACUUUGUUUCAUAAUAUAUUAAUUUCUUUGAGCAUGCUUUCUAUCUCUAUCUGAAGACUGCAGCUUUGGCACAAAAGAAUUCUGAGGCUACCCGAGCACUAGCUAUGCAGGAAGAUAUCCUAGAAAAGGAGCUUGGAGAAAUUCAGAAGGUUUUGUUGGCAAUGCAGGUAUGUUCAACUGAAUAGUUUGACAAUGCGAAUGAGUUUUCCUUGUCAUGUGCUCAAGGGACUUUGCUAUUUAGUAGUAAUGUAGCAUUGUUGGUCUACUGGGGGUACUAGACAAGUUGACUUCAGGAACCUCAAGAUAGUAUAUUGCAUAGAUGUUUCUGUUUUAUGUUGUUUCAUGUAUGUCUAGCUUGAUAUCUCAUGGAUUUCAGGACAAACAUUGCAUGUUUAAGAUCUUGUCAUCAUCAGUAUUGAUUCAUGGGUCUAAAAGUUGCUACGUUGGAUUGAGCGCUGGGCACGGUCUGGCUGUUCCUGUCUGAAGGGUUGGAUACUGAGGACCGGACUCCUUUGUUUCAGUUUCUAUUCGUUCCCUUCCAGUUCCAUCCAAUUUGAUCAGAUCUGCCUGUCAAAAUUAUUUAUGUUAAAGUCAACUUUUCCAGAACUGGACCAAACUGGUCAACCCAAAACCAGACCAAACAGCUCAAAGUCAGUCCAUUCUGAUUUCAAGAUGGUUCUUGUCAAAUCUGGUUUCACUGGGUCUUAUCUAGUCCUAACUCAGACCUGGUCCAUGUCAAAUUGCGCCAAGUUUGACUUUUAACAAUGUAUCCAGCUGAAUGUUUUGGGAAAAAAUGUAGUCAUCACUUUUUGUUGGGUUAUUCUUAGAUUCAUUUGUAAGAUAGAAAGUUUUGGACUAUGGAAAGCUAAAAUGCAGUUUAUUGACUUUAAUUCCUUUUCUCGAGUGUUCUUUGUAGGAACAGCAACAAAAACAAUUGGAGCUUAUUCUUGCAAUUGGAAAGAGUGGGAAUUUAUGGGAUAGUAGGAUGGAACCUAGCUCAGAUCAAAAUCCGGUUGAAACAUCUGAUCUGAGUAAAGGAGCUAAACAGUUGAAAACUCAGGCAUCAGGUGCAAGCAAGGGAACCAACAAUGACAAACUGUAAAAUUGUUGGUGAAGUAAUAUUCAUCGGCUGCUUCGCUCUGUUCACCUUAUGACGUCAAUGUGCUCGACCUUUUUCUACAAAUGACAGGUGGCUUUUCUGGGACCAUACAACUACUUCACUGACUGUUGAAGAAUUCCCCAGUAUCUGAUUUUGACACUGGUGUGUCGAAUAAUUCCCCAGUAUCAGAUUUUGAGACUGGUGCGUGAAAGCAACAAAGGACAAAUAAAUUGGUAGGCAUUGCAUUGUAUCAUUGAGACAAAAUCCUCCUCGUGCUCGUAAUUGUAUUUGUAAUUCUGAUGCUGUAUUUCAUGUUUAAAUUGUACCCUUUCUGUAAACCCUGGCUUUUAGGAUUCAUGCGCACGCAUGGACUUCUGAAAAUAUAUGCUAUGAACAAGAAAGAAUAUUAUGCUGAUAGACUCACCCAACCCUUGAAGGUUGGAGUUUUGACAGGCUCCUGUAUUCUGGAGCAUGUUUUCGGUUAUUGGUUUUAACAGUUGACUUUACAGUUGCAGCAAUUUAUGUGGCCUUGAAUUACCUUGGGCUUUCAACAUGAACUAGCAAUUAUUUUUAACUUCAAAUUCACAAGAGAUGCUAUUCAUUUACAGCUUCAAAACUUGAACCAAUUCCCUGCUCGAAAUCGUUGGUUUUGCAUCAUGAAACAUAGAGAAACAGCUUAAUGGCAGUUGCUUUGCAAAAUAUUCCUAAUAAAGUCAUCAAGAUUUGUCGCAGAUGAUCCACCUUCACUGAUAGCUAGUUGACAGGCAUCCCUAAGAUCUCUUGCUCUUUUCCUCAUUUCUUUACUUUCUCUGCUUUCCAAAUCCAUAAACUUUUGGACGAGUUGAGCAAUUUUCUCUCUGGUCACCGAAUUUUCUUCUCCCAUUUCUCCCUGGACCUUCCAUCCGACUCUCCAUUCUUCCACGAUUUGCUUGCUGUUGGGAUCUUGAUCCAAGAAUAGAGGGAAAGUAAGCAUUGGCACCCCAGAAAAAACUGAUUCCAGAGUAGAAUUCCACCCACAAUGUGUCCAAAAUCCCCCAACUGAAGAAUGGUUUAACACUUGCAAUUGAUUACACCAAGGCAGUACCAGCCCCUUAUCACUGCAAAUCUCCUUUAACCGAGAAGCUUCUCCACGAGCCACCCACAAAUACCUAACGCCACUAUCGUCGAGCCCAGCAGCAAUUUCAUCCAUCUGGGUUCUUGAAACAGAGAGGAAACUUCCCAAUGAGAUGUACAAGACAGAAUCUUCAGGUUGGGAAUCUAGCCAUUUCUGAUAGUCAGUACUAUUACCGGCUCCACAAGAAUUGGCUUGUAGUUCUAAAUAAGGAAUAGAAGGACCAAUAGGAUAGACAGGAAAUAGAAAAGUUGCUUUUAAAUUGUCCAUUUCUUGGGUUUCAAGCUCAUACACAGAAGUAAACAGAAGAUACUGUGCUUUGGGCACCUUUGAAAUGCAUUCCAGAGCAAGCUCCAAGACUCGUAAAUCAUUCCUGCGGAAGAUUUUUCGAAGCUCUUCCAUAUUUGAUGAAGAAAUUCCUGGGAUGUGGCCUGCUUUUUCUACUAAAAGAAAGCAACAUAACAUCAUUACUAUUGAGUAUUUUGGACUCUGGAAUUCUCGAUUUAGUGCUUGAUAAACUUGAUUAAACACCAGCUAUUUGAUCAAAUAAUACUAGUAGAAAGACUGAUACUAGUAAUAUAAUAGCAAGAAUUGUUACUGAAGUUAUAAUAUUACCUAAUAAAUGAAGUGGGGAAUCUUGAUUUUGUGCGAAGAGAUCAAAAUGAUAAAGCACGGAAAAGAAAGUAGCUGACAUGGUCCAAAGUGCAGCCACCGGAAUAUUCCUUCGAUUUCCCAAGUCAAUAGCCCACCGAAGUUCAACAUCACCAAUUACAGCAGUCGCCGGCGGAUGAAGGCGAUCAAGAAGCUGCUCAAAAGGAGUUUCCAUCUUAGUCAUCACAGCUUCAUAAAAUCCAGGAAAAUCAACACCCUUUAGACGCUCAGAUGGGAUGACGUUAGGUAUGGUGGCGAAGACGAUGGAAUCAUCAGGCUUUGGCUCAGAGCUGAGGUAGCCAAGCCACUCUUCAGUGACGACUAAGGUGAUGAGAAUAUCAGGUUUUCUUGAAGCUAAAAGCUUGCAGAUAUUCAUCAUGGGGUUGAUGUGGCCUCUUCCAGGAAAUGGCAUCGCCACCACAUGGCAAACUGCGGCAGAUUCUGAGUUCAUGUCUCAAGAAAUUCUAGAAUUAUGAGAUUCCUAUUCUCAGAUGAAACAAAAACAUGAACUAGGUUUAAGACAACCGCUUGUGAAAAGAUUAAACUGUUUUUUCUCUGUGGUUAUUGUCUUUUUUUUUCAUAAUACAAUAAUGGAAAGUGAUGACUCACAACCUAACCACAUAGUUUUUUGCCAUUAUUUAUAUUUCUUUAAUUCUUUUACCUUUCCAGCGUAAUACGCAAUUGACAAUGUCAUGGAUGUUUUUAGUCUGUCAUCUUGUGUUUUGUAUUACAAUCAAAUUUAUAUCUUGAAAAAUCCUUUCACGCAUUUAAAUGUGAAAAUUGAUUUGUACGUUCAAAAAAAAAUUAUAAUUUUAGAUUUCACUAUAACGUAGAUAAUUUUUUUUUUUAAAUUAUAUUAAACAGAUAUAUAUAUUUUCUAGAAAAAUUUCCAAUCAUAAUUAUAUUCAUUGAUAAUCCACAUGAAAAAUAAAAUAUAUCAUUGCAGCCUAUUUUCAAUUUAGGCCCACAAAUAAAGGAUUUAAGAUGAAAGCCCAAUCAUCUCCGCUCCAACAAUCAUGUUUUUACACUCUAUUUAAAAGAAAGUAGAGCAAAAUAAAAUUUUAUAAUUUGACAAAAUAAUUUUUUUUUAUUAAUUGAAAAAAAGUUUAUAGUAUUUAAAAAUUUUUAAAAAUAAAAUUUUUCAAUCCAUCAAUUUAAUGAAUUGAAAUUUAAAAUUUGUAAAUGUUAUUUAAAAUCUCUAAAAAUCUUAUUUUAAAAACUUUCUACUUGUGUGUAUUUUUAAAUCUUAAAAAAUCUUCAAUUACCUUGUAAAAUCUCAUUCCAUGCAGAGUGGUGGUGUUUGAACCAACUCGAUUAGUGAAGACUGAGAAUGCCAUCAAGAUAUAGAAACUGCCUCAUCUUGCCAUCAACUUCCACCAAAAGGGAAGAAAACGGUUGCAACUGAUCACUCAAAGAGCCACAGCUUUGAGGCUCGGCUGGAUUCAAACCUGAUUUGGAGCUUGUCCAAAUUAGAAUAGGAAUGACGGAACUUGCUCCAAUAACUAACUGUGAUAGAUUAAUCUGUAAAAAAAGAAAAGAGUGAAACAUUUAGCGUUUAUAGACAACUGUUUUGAUAAUCAAGUCAGUAACUUGCUAAAAAGAGCAAGUAUGAUUAGAAAUAGAGUUGAAAUGCGAUUGGUUAAACUGAAAAAAAAAUGUAGUGGUUAACAUAUACAAUUUCUCUGAUACUCGAGUCAAUAAUUUACUAAAAAAAGUAAGUGUAAUAAAUUAUUUUGAGUUUAAAAUGAAUGUGUAGCAAUAUUUAUUUUUUAUAUUAUAACAAAAUGGAUUUAAUUAUAAAAAUUGCUUGAAAAUUCGAUUGGUAUCCGUUAAUGAAUAAGAGAUUCUCCAAUUAUAAAUAUAAAUAUAAUGAAAAUAAAUUAGAUUAUAUUCGAUAAUUUUGUACCAUAAAAGAUUCGAUCAAUUUAGUAAAAGGCGAGUUUUGAUGUUUUAAACACUGAAAAUUUCAAUGUCUGAGUUUUUUUUAUAAGUGAGAUCUCUACUACUGCAAAUCAAUCUAUUAGACUCUUGUCACGUGAUUCUAUUUUAUCGUGAUAAUUUAUGAUUAUUAUGUAAUAUUAAUUUUUAAAAGUAUAUUAAUUUUUUAUUUUUAAAAUAUUUUAAAAGUAUCAUUCAAUUUUUUACACAUAUAUUUUAAUUUUAUCAAAUUAAAUAUUAAUUUUAAAUAUACACAAAAAAAUCAUUUAAUUGGAUCAUAUCAAAAUACUCAAAUUAAACUAUAAAUUUUAAAUAAUAAUGAGAUAUAUUUUGACAUAAAUCAUAGAAAGUAAUUUAUAUCUAUUUUAUUUAUGUAAAGAAAUUAUCUAUUUUUAGAAAACAAUGACACAUCACCUGUUGCAGUGACGAAUCACAAUGCUUGCAAUGUGACGUGGACAUUUCUUUGCAAGUACAUUCUUAUAGCGUAGUGAAGGGAAAAUUCUUUAUUGCAUCCAUUUAUUUAUGAAAUCAACUAAUUAAAAAUUAUUAUUAUAUUUUUUUAAAGUAAAAUUUAUUGAAAUUUUAGUAUAUAUGAUUUUUUUUUUAUUGAUGGAAUGUGUAUAAGAAGUAUUUUCACGUGGUGCAGUGCAUCAGCAUCAGGAGAUAGUUUGGGCAGUGAUGAAUCAAUCAUAUCAUGACCGUCCAAAGCUGCAGCAUAUGUCAACUUUUGUACCAUCUCUAUCUUCUUCCUAACUUACUUGUUCAUUACUCAUGAUAGCCCCUAGCUGCACCACAUUUCUAAUUCACUCUUCCAUGAAACUUCUCUUUCCCCAAAAAACAUAAAAUAAUAUAAAAUAAAAAUUCAUUUAUUUUUGGAGAAGUGCUGGCAGUAUUUAGAAAAUCUUCUUAUCUUUUUUCUGAAAAAUAAAAUAUAAUUUCUGAAAAAUGAGACCAUCUUCCUUCAAGACAUCAAACAGAAUUUCAGUUUGUUUCACCAAAUUGAUUUAAACUUUUAUCGGGCGAAUCUCAUUCACUCUGAGUGAGUGAGAUCGAAUUUAAAAAAAUAAUGCUUGUAUAAAAUCAAUAAAAUAUUCUUUUAAUCGAUCAAUCCAACCUUUUAAAUUUUGGCUUAAAUAUGUGGAGCAAACCAAAUCAUUUGCAAGAUCAAGACCAAUAAAAAAUAGUCCAAUUCGAUGAUGUAACGUGAAAGAUAGUAGCUAGCCAAUUCAUUUUGCAGUCCUACCUACAUCCAUACUGGAAGAAUUAAAUGAUUAUCUAACGUGAAAAGAAAGUUUGACACGUUUGUACGUAUGAAUCUAAAUGAUAAAAAUAAAUAAUAUUAUAAUAGAGAGGCGUUAAAUGUAACUAACAUAAAAAAAUUAAAAAAAAAUAUUUUUUUCUCUAUCUAAAUUUAAACUUAUAAUAAAAAUUUUAUUUUUUGAAUCUUAAAACAUCAGUAGUUAAUGAUCUUUCCCACUUGUCUUAAGGUUUCUCUUAUAAGUUUGAAUGUAAGAGAUCAAACCACUAAUCAUUUUGUUUAUAAGGUUUGUUUAAAUAAGACAUUGAAAUGGGGACAAAUUGCAGGUUUUGCUUCUGUUUCUUUAAAAAAAAAUAAUAAUAAAUAAAUAAGUUGGUCUCAUGUACGAAUUAUUGAACGUCAAUGGCAGACAAAUUCAAUGUCUGAAAGAAACAACAGCAAUAAAUGCAUGAAUUUAACCCUUUUGAAUAUUAUUUAUUUCAGUUUUUCCAUGCACAGCAGUAACACUUUCUCCACAGUUACUGUUUCUCAGCUUUAAUCUAAAAAAUCUAAUUUAAUAAACUGACCCUAAUGGGUCCUUGUUGCCUUCUGAUGUGGAUUCUCCCAAUUUGUUUUCCUCCUCUGAAUUGUUCCUUUCAUCACUUCUUUCUCUCUCUAGAUCCCUAACCCUACCUCUCUCUUCUCCAUUGCCCAGAUCACUGACUCUAUUUAUCUCUUGAUUUUGCAGCUGCCUUCUUCCCAGUAGCUGCUGGGUUUCUACCAUUUGUUGAACUAUAUUAGUUCUUUAUUUAUGAUUUCAAACAUGGUGACAUGAAAAAGGCUUAUUGUUUCUUCACCAUAAUGAGCACCCAUCGCCGAUAUUUUCUCAGCAACAGCGGCAUAGCCAUUGCAGCUUCACUCUGCCUUCUUCUUCUUCUUCUUCUUCCUCUAGCUUCCUGCUCUCAUCCACGGCCACAGCCUCGUGUAAGCUUGAUCUCUCUGAAAAUUUGAUUAGAUUUCGGUAUGUGGGUGAUAUUUACUUGGGGUUAAUUUGUUGUGUAGGGUUUACUAUCUGAGGAGAAAACAAGACUGGGUUCUACACCACCGAGUUGCCACAACAAAUGCAACGGAUGCCACCCAUGCAUGGCAGUUCAAGUGCCUACAAUACCGAGUCACAGCCGAGUUCAACCGAGUUUGGCUAAAAGCUUGGAGUUCUUGGACCCUUAUCCUUCGCCCUCAGGUAAUAGGUACUCAAAUUAUAAGCCACUCGGGUGGAAGUGUCGCUGUGGUGGCCAUUUUUACAAUCCUUGAAUCUUCAAAGAUCAAAGUGAAAACGGCGAUACGUUGCAUAUUCUUUUUUGCUUUUCAAAUGAAUUAUGGAUUUUUUUUUAUCUCUUUUUUUUUCCAGAGAUGUGAAUGUCACCGUUAAAUGUACACAUUUAAACGUUAUACAAUAUGUAUUAUAAAGAAAGCCUGUCUGCAAUUAUUUGAAAUUUGUCUUAUUCUCAGAUAAUAAUUAUAAUAAUGUUUGAUUGGGUCAGUUAAAAAAUUCAAACUUUUUAAAAUUUAUAAAAAAAAAAAAUUUUUUUUUAUUUGUUUUUUUUAAUGGUGAGUGGUGUGUUGGGCUUAUCUUCUUGGGAAAUACAAGUCUUGUAUAUAAAAUUGACAAGAAAAGAGAAUGAGCGGAACAUCUUUCAGGGAAACCUCGCAUUAUUGAAGGUGAUAGGAAUUCAGAUUGAGUAGUGAACCAGUACACCAUGACCUUGACCAUGACCAUGACCAUGACCAUGUGAAUCCCAGUAUACAUAUACAGACUAGAGUACUGCUGAGACAGAGAUAGCCAUUUAUAGCAAUGUGAAAAAGCCUCAAGUCUUAUUGUCACUCACGUACACUCAGAUGGAAAAUGCAGUGCGACUUGUCCCUCUCAAUAUCUGUGAAAAAAAAAAUUAUAAUUUAUUUUAUUUAGUAUAAUGGGAAAAUAAUUAGUUUAUCUCUGAAUUUUUUUAAAAAAAAAAUUAUGAAACAGAUGAAUUAAUUUUUUAAUUAUUUAAUAUAUAUUUUUAAAUAUAUAUUAACUACUUAAUUUGGCUGCGCCAAUUAAAUUGUAAUCUUUGCAAAUUUGUAAUUUGUGCGGAGACAUCAGCCCACUCUUUAGCAUCGUAGCCUCACUAUUUUCGACUAGUUUACUAUUUUAAAUUCUAAUUUGACAAAAUCAUUUAGAAGGGCUCAGCCGCAUCGCACUUGUCGCGCUACUAUUUAAGGAAUAUAUCGGAAUCAGACAAACUUUCUAUUUGAGAAAUUUUUUUGGAAAAAGAAAAUAAAAUUUAUUUUUAUUUUUAUUUUUUACUUUAUUUAAAUAGAUGGAAAAUUAAAAAAAAAAAAAGGAGAUUAAAUAUUUGAUAAAACGUUGGAGGUGGAAGAAAAAUAAUUAUAUUUUGAUAAGAUUAUUAUUAUAGCCUCUAUCUUCCAAAAUUGAAUUAAUAAUUGAGGGGUAAAUGGGUGACUUCAUGAGUGAUAAAGAUAUUUUUUAAAAUUUUUUUCCCUUAAAUCAGAGUUAAAAUAAAUAGAUAAAUAUAUAUUCCAUUUAUUUUUUCUCUUAUUUUUAACUCCAAAAUAGUUGGAAUAAAAAAAACUGCAAAUAGUUAUUAUCUCAUUAUUUCUUCUAUUUAUUUUCGGCAAAAAAAAAAUUAAUCGCUUAACUUUUAUUUAAAGUUAAAAUUAACUUAAUUUUAUCUUUUUAGCCUAAUAAGUCCAAACCUUUAUAUUUAGCUUCAUUUAACACCAAUUUCUGCCAGAUUUAUGGCAAUUGUGAUACACUCUCUCUCUUAGAGACUAACCGAGUGAAAAUAUUUUUUUAAGUAUAAUAAUACUAGUGAGAAAAAAAUAUAAAAUGUUAUUUUUAUAUUUAUAUAAUUAAUAAAAAUAAAUAUAAGAAUUUUUUCUGAAUCUUUCCAACUCAUUCUCUAGUUCCAUCCUUGUUGUGAUGCUUUAUUCUUGUCCUACUCGAUCAUAAUUGUGGCAGAUUAAAGAUGCCUACCUCCUUUAAGGGUAAUUCCUUCACUUGUUGAAGACCAAAGACCCAACACACUAAAUCGCUUGACCCAUUUGCUUCUAUAGAAAAUUUUAGUCUCUCCUUCGUCUAGAUCUUGAUAAUAGUGAGAUUCGGCGAAAGUUCCAUAUUAGCACACUUAGGCAAAAAGCACAUUUAGACCGAGUUUUGAUUCGCUAGAUUGAUUAUUAUUUUGUGAUUAAUCCAUUAGAUUUCUUUAUAUUUAACUUUGAAGAAUAGAACUUGUAAGAUAAAUAAGACAGUGAGGGAAUCACCCGAGAAGUUUCGGGUGAAAACCCUCCAAUACUCAAGUUAGACCUGAUAAUUUUAUAAAAUUAAGAGAAGUAAAAUAGAGAAAAAAAAAAAGAGAAGAGAAUAAUGGUUCUGAAUUCUUCCUUUGUGAUUGCAAGAGAGAUAGAUCACUUUUCAGAAGAAAAUAUAUCCUUUUUUCUAGGUUAGUCCAGUGCAUAAAUAUUUUUAAAUAAAAUUGAUGCUCUAAUGCUAUGUCCACUUCUGAUGGGGUAGGAAUACUUUUGUAGAUAAUAUAUUAAUGAUGGGUUAUAAGAUAAAAAAAUAUAAAAUUGGUUAAUUUAUAUUUUUUAUAUUCACACUUAUGGUUGAUAUGCUCAAAUAAUGAUUGACUUAUUUAUGAUUGACUUAUAAAUAAUAAUAAUAUCUAAAAAUUAAAUUAUAAAUUGAAACUUUAAUGCAAUGUUCCCUUCUGACACACAGGAGAGACAUUUUUAUAUAGGUGUGUCAAUAUAAUGAAUUAUAGGAUAAUAAAUGCAAAACUAACUAAUUUAUAUUCUUUAUAUGCACGUUUAUAAUUUUAUGUGCCGAAUUAAAAUUUAAUUUAUAAAUAAUAAUAAUAUUUAUAGGUUAAAUUAUAAUUUUUUUUAAAAAAAAAUCUAUGCAUCAACGACCAUAUUAGGCCCACUCUAUCUAGGUAGAGGAGCCUAGCCGUGUUAAACCAAAAUCGAAAUCAUUCUCCUUGACCCACUUUUUUUUUCUCUCUAGUUUUUUUUUUCUCUCUCACAAGUGUUGUUGGUCCAACUCAUUCAAUUUGUUUUAAUCAACAUGUAAGAAUGGAAUUAUUUUAUUCUUAAAAUGAACAGAUCAACGUCUUGGUUUUUGAGUAUGAAACAAACUGAUACUCCAACCAAAUUAGUUAAAAAGUUAAAAUUGAAUUUUAACCUCUAUGUAUUUAUAAAAAAUAAUUCGUUUGAAUUAUUUGUCUCAAAAAACUAUUUUUUUAUUAUUAAUUGCAUUAUUAUAGUGUAAAUAUUGUUAAUAAGUUUAAAUUUAAAAAGUUUGGAUGCCUUAAUAAUUUCUUUAAAAUUUUAAAAAAUAAUUUAAAAUAAAAUAAAAAUAAAAAUAAAAAUAAAAAUAAAAAUAAAAAUAAAAUCAAAGUGAAUUUUUUUAAUCCAAUUCCACUUCUGCAGUUCUAAAACUCAAACCAUCGAUUUGGUUUCAAUUUCAGCUCUGAAACAAAUCGUGGCCGGCCAUUGAUCGGCAUCUAGUGUAUUCCAUAGUCUUUUCCCCCAUUCCCUACUCGGCUACUCCCUUACCUUUAACAUGACGUCAGUCAUUUUCAUUCUUAUCUGAAUUUCAAUCCUCCACUCGUUUGUCCAUUUUGCGUGUAUUUUAUCCGAUAAAACAUCCAAAUAAACCAAUAAUUUCUUUUUCUUUUUUAAAUAUUCAAUGAAUAAUUGAUUAUAAUUAUUAAAUUAAUUAAGCUUUCCUUUUUCUUUAAAAAAACAUAUUGGUUAGGUUUCUGCCGUCCAAUUAUCACUUAUCCAUCAAACAUCAUUCACAUAAAUCUUAAAGCACUUACAUCCAUCCAACGCUCGUCUUUGGCGUUAUCUUCACCAACAUUUCGCCGGACCGGGAGAGAGAAAUGGUCGAUUUAGGGGAAAGGAGAAUUGCAGUUCCGAUGAUAAUAGCAAUGAAAGGCCAUCCAGGCACAGGCAAGAGCACUUUGGCCCAAUCCUUGGCCUCCUCCCUCAAAAUCCCUCUCAUUGACAAAGACGAUGUUCGCCACUGCACCUUUUCUCUCCAGAACUCCUCGCUGUCCUCCAUCGCUUCCCUCUCCAAGCUCUUCAAUGAUCUCUCCUACCGCGUCAUCUGGCAAAUCGCUUCCACUCAGCUCCGUCUCGGCCUCAGCGUUAUACUCGAUUCUCCUCUCUCUCGCAAGACUCACCUCGAUCAAUUAACCUAUUUAGCAUCAUCAGCUGGGGCACGCCUUGUGAUAAUCGAAUGUAAACCAUUGAAUGAGGCACUGUGGCGUCUCAGGCUAGAGCAACGCGGUGCUGCUGAUCAAGAUAGUUGGCAUAAACCUUCCACGUGGCAAGAUCUCCAGAGGUUGUUGGAAGAGUACGGUGGGUGUACCGAUUAUGAUGUUGGUGAUGUACCGAAGUUGGUUGUAGAUACAACGGCCGACGUUGGGAUUGAUGAGAUUGUUUCUAGAGUGGUGCAGUUCAUCAUUUCUCAUGCUCAUUGCCCUUCUGAUUCAUGUGGAGUGUUACAAUUACAAUCAUAAUUCAUAAUUAACAACAAAAUUUCUAGAUUGUUAUGGUCGAAAUCUACUAACAAUGAAUUUAUAUACGAUUUAGAUUUCAUAAUGGUUAAAGUAUAAUUAGUUAAUUAAUUUACUAAUUUUUUUCCCACAAAAUCCAAUUCAUUUCAUUAAACUCAUGGAAGAACUAAAAACAACCAUUCAACCUAAAAUCAAGCUAAGCAAUUGGAGCCUUGAAGAAAAAGCAGAGCAGAACAAACCACAACUAAUUGGCUAUCACCACUCACAUAAACACUUUUAUAUUCUCUAUUCAGCAUUGGCCACCAAAAAAGAAGAAAACUCCAACAAUCAACAUAAAAGAAAAUUUUGUCUAUUUGUUACCUUCAAAACUAUGAAAAUAGAGAGGAUGUGCAGCAACCAUCACCAUAGAGAUUUGGAUCUGAUUGGACAAAUUGAGAACAUGGCGAAGCAAAGGGUGACGAAUUCUCUCUUUCACUAGUAGCCCAAAAAAGCCGUAGAGGCUUCAUAACCAUCUUGGAGGGAAGAUUUCGAAGCAUACAAGCAAAUCUCCAAAUAUAAAUUAAAGAAAAACUACUAAAAUCCCAUAUGAAAUGAGAACUUAAAACCCUAUCAAAGUGACAAACAAAAAGAUAAGAAACUAAAAAACAAAUAGACUAAAAAAGGAAAACUAGAAAGGGAAGAGGUCAAUGGCCAUGCUACCGAAUCUCCCCUAAAUUGGAACCAGGCCAGAUCUUCCCUAAACUGAAACCAAAUGUUGAUUGUAGAUGAGAGAAAGGAAAGCAUAGCAUAGCAUUGUCUAGAGAGUCAUAGGAACCACAUUAAUUUACUAAAAUUUAAUUAACUAGUUUUUCACAAGCACUUGAAAUAAUAAUUGCUACAAUCUACUAGCUCAUGAACAAGCAAUAUGGAAUAAGAAUUUUCUAUAAGACGAAUAAGUGUAAGGCUUUAUUUGCUGGGACUUGAGUUUGUAGCAAUAGUGAUUAUAUCUCACAAUUUUUUUAAUCUAAAAAUUGUGUUGAAAAAUAUUUAGAGAGUAAUUUUCAAAAAUAAUAAAAUGGUAAGUACAUUUGAAUAAAUCUUAGAUAUUUCAUAUUCUACUCUCAAUUUUCAAUUUCUGAUUAAAAAAAAAAAUCAUACUGAAAUAAUAUAUAAAUUUGCCGGCCUAAAAAAAAAAUCAAAUUGGUAACUCAAUCUAAAACCAAUCACCUAGGAUAUUAUAAACCAUAGUCUUUCAUAUUCCAUCAUUACCACCAAUUACUAUCCAACAACACCAAUCACCAUUAAAUGAACAAUAAACCACGAUCUUUAAGCCAAAAAAUCGUUGAAAAUGCAAAAUUCCCAGCAAGACGCAUGCAAAACAUGAAAAGGCCAAAGGAAAUUGCUUCAAUAAAACAUGAUGCAAACUUAUAAGAGAACGAUAUGAAAGACCAGCUUCAAGAGGCAUGGACAAAUCUCAUUGGCGUCUCAAUCUCGUGUAGUCUUAACCACUUUUGAUCGAGUACUACUUGGAGAUGGUACCACCGAUACUAAGCAAGUAAGCAGAAUUCACUCUUACAAGCACAACACUAGAUCUCGAAAACAAUUUCGCUGGAGAACAUCAAAUACUUAUAAAUAAAAAUCCAAAAAAACAAAUACCAAAAACCAAAAGAAAUACAACCACUAGUAGAAACACAACCCAAGAAGAAUUGAAUAGAGAGAAAUGGGUGUGUGAUUCAGUUUAAUUUAUUUUAAGUUUUUAACAUUAAUAAUUGAAUCGAGAGAAAAAAAUAUUUGAAAAAAUAAUCAAAAUUGAAAUUAAUAAAAAGAUCAAGCCCAACAAGCAAAGUCCAUUAAUUGGGGGCCCAAAAGCCCAACAAAAG
rnacentral:lncRNA from 1 species